rnacentral:rRNA from 1 species
GUCAAGUCAGCACGUCCCUUACAUCUAGGGCAACACACAUCCUACAAUGGUGACUACAACGGGUAGCGACGAGGUAACUCCGAGCCAAUCUUUAUAAAAGUCAUCUCAAUUCGGAUUGGGGGCUGCAAUUCGCCCCCAUGAAGCCGGAAUCGAUAGUAAUCGCAAAUCAGCAGGUUGCGGUGAAUACGUUCUCGCUCCUU